rnacentral:lncRNA from 1 species
CGCCGGCGGCACCCCGGGAGGCCCUCCCAGCACUUUACCCUCAGAACGACGCCCCUGCGAGGAAGACCCUCCCCAGAGGCUCUGGUUAACCCGAAGCCUUGUGGCGGAGUGGGGGGGGUGGAGUUGGACCCCUGCCUCCCCUAGACUGCAAGGGGGGGCAUUUGCAAGGUUUCCCUGCCCUUCUGAGGGCGAGAACUGUAGACAGUCUCCUCCUGAGGGAAGAUUUGUCUUGAGAAGAUUACUGGGUCAUCCAUGGCAACCUGAGAGAAAUCCCACAAGGAGUGUGGCUCUGCUCUGUUCCAUUUUGCAGGAAGGCAUGAGGAAGAAAGAACAGAGACUCUGUCUUCAACUCCAGAAACACAAUGUCCUUCUGGCGACAGGUGAGGACUAAAGCAGCAGCAAAAAAGUUUUCAGAGCCCCUUUGAACGCAGAUAAAAGUGGAGAGUAUCUGGAGUCCCUUACUGGACACAAGGCUGGCCGGCCACAAGUUGGUGUCCCCGGUGACAUGCAGUUGACAGGGAUGUGUUAGAAGGUCUGGGGUGGCUUUUGGAAAAGGAGGAGGCAGAUUUCUGGACUGAGAGAGAACGAGGAGGUUGUGUGGGGCAUUGCUGUUCUAUCCUGCUGGUGAUCUUUGUGAUGCAUGAAUGCUCUCCUGAAGAGCUUCCCAGGAACCUCUGGCCAGCCAUCCACCAUGAAGCAGGAGACCGUCCUGGUCGGUGGCCCUUGGUCUGACUGAGGCAGGAAGGCAGCUCUUCCGCCACAUGGGCUGCAAGCAACACAGAUGCCUAGUUUGGCUGGGUUGCUGCUGUGUCCGCUUCCUUUGCAAUCCCCCACUUGCCCAUUUUAGCUGUCUCUACGAUCCUUAAUAAACUCAUCUUUGAUUUACUAUAAUUGGACA